rnacentral:rRNA from 1 species
AGAGUUUGAUCCUGGCUCAGGAUGAACGCUGGCGGCGUGCCUAAUACAUGCAAGUCGAGCGAAUGGAUUAAGAGCUUGCUCUUAUGAAGUUAGCGGCGGACGGGUGAGUAACACGUGGGUAACCUGCCCAUAAGACUGGGAUAACUCCGGGAAACCGGGGCUAAUACCGGAUAACAUUUUGAACUGCAUGGUUCGAAAUUGAAAGGCGGCUUCGGCUGUCACUUAUGGAUGGACCCGCGUCGCAUUAGCUAGUUGGUGAGGUAACGGCUCACCAAGGCAACGAUGCGUAGCCGACCUGAGAGGGUGAUCGGCCACACUGGGACUGAGACACGGCCCAGACUCCUACGGGAGGCAGCAGUAGGGAAUCUUCCGCAAUGGACGAAAGUCUGACGGAGCAACGCCGCGUGAGUGAUGAAGGCUUUCGGGUCGUAAAACUCUGUUGUUAGGGAAGAACAAGUGCUAGUUGAAUAAGCUGGCACCUUGACGGUACCUAACCAGAAAGCCACGGCUAACUACGUGCCAGCAGCCGCGGUAAUACGUAGGUGGCAAGCGUUAUCCGGAAUUAUUGGGCGUAAAGCGCGCGCAGGUGGUUUCUUAAGUCUGAUGUGAAAGCCCACGGCUCAACCGUGGAGGGUCAUUGGAAACUGGGAGACUUGAGUGCAGAAGAGGAAAGUGGAAUUCCAUGUGUAGCGGUGAAAUGCGUAGAGAUAUGGAGGAACACCAGUGGCGAAGGCGACUUUCUGGUCUGUAACUGACACUGAGGCGCGAAAGCGUGGGGAGCAAACAGGAUUAGAUACCCU